CACAAAGGGCUGGCAGGAAAGCUCCUAGUACACGGGGCAGGCAGCCAGGACCCAGACGCACGGGGCUGGCAGGAGAGACCCAGAUGCGCGUAGCCGGCAGCCUGGACUUCAGUGAGUGGGGCCAACAGGAAAGCCCGGGGCACGCAGGACCGGUGGUCCCAAGAGCCAUGCAAUAACCAGGCUUUGAGAUGAAGUUUUUGAGGAUCCAAAUGGACGACACAAUAGGAGCUAAGGCAGAAGCGGAAGUGUACAUGGAAACAGACCGACAUGUGGAGAAACUGCUGACUGCACAGCUGCCCCCUGCUCUUCUAGAGUUCUUCUGCCCAUGCUCAGGCCACUCACCACUUCCUGGUGAGUAGGUACUGGGUGCGGCUUGCAGACAGGGAGCGGGGUGGCCAGAAGAUGAGGCUCGCUGCAGGAGCCAGUAUGGAGUCUACGGGGGAUAAGGGACCACCGGGUGAUGCACAGAAGUCCCGCUCAGCAUCUCCAUCUAACUCCUCAAUCUCUUCUAAUUAAACCUGCCUUUCCUCAAGCACCAGCAUUCAAGUUAAAUAAAAAACGACUUCUACUAUUUUUCAUUCAUACAAUAUUUCAGCUAUAUUAUUAAUUCAAUAGGCUUAUAUAUAGUGCCGCUAUGAUCAGGGUGAAUGGUAAUUUAUGCUCCUAUGAGGGAAAAAAAAUAUUUGAAGGGAUGGGGAUAAAGUAGAAAAGUCUAUUGUAUUAUGACUAAGAAGAACUAACUACACCUAAAGGAAAGGGAAAAGGAUUAUUUUUAGUUGUGUGUGCACUGAAGGCUCUGACUCGACCCAACGGCCAAAGAGAAGGAACUGGGCUGGUGAUGUUAGCUCAGUGCCAGUUAAUCACCUGAAGCAGCACAAUAUGGGCACUGCACAUGUGUGAGUUAACCGGGCACUGCUACCAUAAAUAUUCUACUAGGAGAGCAGGAGCAUGCAGACACUUACUGUGGAGCACCCACAGAGAAACCACUCUGAGAAAGAAUCCACAUAUUUCCCCUCUUUUCCCACUGCCUCUAAUAUUCAGAACAUUAUCAGUGAGCAUAUUAAUUGAACUCCAGUCUUUGCAGGAUAGUGGGAUUAGAACCCAAAAAUAUAUAUUUCCCUCUUUAUAAUUGGGAUUAACUUUAUUUUACUGUAAUACUCUGAAAUUACCCCAUAGUCACUAAUUUAAAAUAGAUUCUGUAGAACCAAAUACUUAUAUAACCAGGAUUUGAAUCAAUGCUUUCAUUAGUCAACUGGAAAGGGAAAGAAAUCCCAAGUGUGUUUAUAUAAAUACAGUUUCUCCCUACUUCACUUAGAUGUAUUAGAUAUUCAGCUGUUACAAUGGUGUUUUGUUCAUUGUAAUCAACUUGGCUGGUGUUGGUUAUAAGUUGUGUUAAUACUAAUUGCAAUGUCUGUGAU